rnacentral:tRNA from 1 species
AAGGAGAUUAGGUUAAAUAGACCAAGAGCCUUCAAAGCUCUAAGUAAAUAAACUAAUAUUUAUCUCCUG